CUGAUUUGAUUUUAUCUGACAAAGAGUGGCGAACGGGUGAGUAACACGUGGGUAACCUACCUCUUAGCAGGGGAUAACAUUUGGAAACAAGUGCUAAUACCGUAUAACACUAACAACCGCAUGGUUGUUAGUUGAAAGAUGGUUCUGCUAUCACUAAGAGAUGGACCCGCGGUGCAUUAGCUAGUUGGUAAGGUAAUGGCUUACCAAGGCGAUGAUGCGUAGCCGAGUUGAGAGACUGAUCGGCCACAAUGGGACUGAGACACGGCCCAUACUCCUACGGGAGGCAGCAGUAGGGAAUCUUCCACAAUGGGCGCAAGCCUGAUGGAGCAACGCCGCGUGUGUGAUGAAGGGUUUCGGCUCGUAAAACACUGUUAUAAGAGAAGAACGACAUUGAGAGUAACUGUUCAGUGUGUGACGGUAUCUUAUCAGAAAGGAACGGCUAAAUACGUGCCAGCAGCCGCGGUAAUACGUAUGUUCCAAGCGUUAUCCGGAUUUAUUGGGCGUAAAGCGAGCGCAGACGGUUAUUUAAGUCUGAAGUGAAAGCCCUCAGCUCAACUGAGGAAGGGCUUUGGAAACUGGAUAACUUGAGUGCAGUAGAGGAAAGUGGAACUCCAUGUGUAGCGGUGAAAUGCGUAGAUAUAUGGAAGAACACCGGUGGCGAAAGCGGCUUUCUGGACUGUAACUGACGUUGAGGCUCGAAAGUGUGGGUAGCAAACAGGAUUAGAUACCCUGGUAGUCCACACCGUAAACGAUGAGUGCUAGAUGUUCGAGGGUUUCCGCCCUUGAGUGUCGCAGCUAACGCAUUAAGCACUCCGCCUGGGGAGUACGACCGCAAGGUUGAAACUCAAAGGAAUUGACGGGGACCCGCACAAGCGGUGGAGCAUGUGGUUUAAUUCGAAG
rnacentral:rRNA from 1 species